rnacentral:rRNA from 1 species
GGGGGGAGCGAGCGUCGUUCGGAAUCACUGGGCGUAAAGGGCGCGUAGGCGGCCGGGAUAAGUCGUGUGUGAAAGACCGGGGGCUCAACUCCGUGUAUUGCAUGCGAUACUGCCCCGGCUAGAGUAAGGUAGAGGCGAGUGGAAUUCCCGGUGUAGCGGUGGAAUGCGUAGAUAUCGGGAAGAACACCUGUGGCGAAGGCGGCUCGCUGGGCCUUUUCUGACGCUGAAGCGCGAAAGCGUGGGGAGCAAACAGGAUUAGAUACCCUGGUAGUCCACGCCGUAAACGAUGGGCACUAGGCGUUGGGAGGAUUGACCCUCUCAGUGCCGUAGCUAACGCGUUAAGUGCCCCGCCUGGGGAGUACGGCCGCAAGGCUG